GCACUUGUGCUCGCCACAGGUGCUGCUCUGGCCCGUCUUGUACACCUCACCGUCUUUGCAUUGUUCAUUUAGUCCUUUUUGCCAUUUAGUCCCUGGGUUUGUCGCACUGCGCGAGUGGCACACAAAUGCCGAGGCUGUUUCUGUAGAGGCCGCGGACACAGAAGCACUGGUAGGCACAAUCGCGCGUGCAAUCGUCGGUGGGCUCGGGCUGGGCGCAGGACAGCUCGCCGCACGAAGAGCUCUCGCAUUCCUUGAACACCUC
rnacentral:lncRNA from 1 species